GUUUUACAGCCUACCAGGAACAUGUCUUACAAAGGCCUGUGAAACGCCUUUCUUCCCAGGCCUGAUCUCGCUGAAGUAGAACUUCUGCUCUGCCGUGUCCUACAUGGGCCUAGAGCUGAAAGGUACAAAGUCCUGCCUUGUGUCCUCAAGGGCAGACAAGCCCCACAGCGUCGAGAUUCCAGCUCUUUGGGCAGCUAAGAAACAACUCGCACUGCACUGGUGUUUUGCAGCCUACCGGGAGCAUGUCUUACAAAGGCCUGUGAAACGCAGUUUCUUCCCAGGCGUGAUCUCGCUGAUGUAGAACUUCUGCUCUGCCGUGUCCUACAUGACCCUAGAGCUGCAAGUCAAAAAUUCCUGCCUUGUUUCCACAAGGGGAGACAAGUCCCUCAGCGUCCAGCUUCCAGCUCUUUCGGCAGCUAAGAAACAACUCGCUCUGCACUGGUGUUUACAGACUACCGGGAACAUGUCUUACAAAGGCCAGUGAAACGCACUUUCUUUCCAGGCCUGAUCUCACAGAAGUAGAACUUCUGCUCUGCCGUGUCCUACAUGGGCCUAGAGCUGAAAGGGACAAUGUCCUGCCUUGUGUCCUCAAGGGCAGACAGUCCCCACAGCGUCCGGCUUCCAGCUCUUUGGGCAACUUAGAAACAACUCGCUCUGCACAUGGCUCUUACAAGCCUACCGGUAACAUGUCUUACAAAGCCUGUGAAACGCAGUUUCUUCCCAGGCCUGAUCUCGCUGAGGAAGAACUUCUGCUCUGCCGUGUCCUACAUGGGCCUAGAACUGAAAGGGACAAAAUCCUUCCUUGUGUCCUCAAGGGCAGACAGGCCCCACAGCGUCCGGCUUCCAGCUCUUUGGGCAGCUAGGAAACAAAUCGCUCUACAAUGGUGUUUUACAGCCUACCAGGAACAUGUCUUACAAAGGCCUGUGAAACGCAGUUUCUUCCCAGGCCUGAUCUGGCUGAAGUAGAACUUCUGCUCUGCCGUGUCCUAGAUGUCCCUAGAGCUGCAAGGGACAAGGUACUGCCUUGUGUCCUCAAGGGCAGACAGGCCACACAGCAUCCGGCUUCCAGCGGUUUGGGAAGCUAAGAAACAGCUCUCUCUGCACAGGGCUUUUACAAGCCUACCGGGAGCAUGCCUUACAAAGGCCUGUGAAACGCAGUUUCUUCCCAGGCCUGAUCUGGCUGAAGUAGAACUUCUGCUCUGCCGUGUCCUACAUGGGCCUAGAACUGAAAGGGACAAAAUCCUUCCUUGUGUCCUCAAGGGCAGACAGGCUCCACAGCGUCCGGCUUCCAACUCUUUGGGCAGCUAAGAAACAAUCUCUCUGCACAGGGCUCUUACAACCCUAGCGGGAACAUGUCUUUCAGGGCCUUUUAAACGCAGUUUUUCCCAGGCCUGAUCUCGCUGAAGUAGAACUUCUGCUCUGCCGUGUCCUACAUGGGCCUAGAGCUCAAAGGGACAAAGUUCAGCCUUGCGUCCUCAAGGGCAGACAGGCCCCACAGCGUCCGGCUUCCA
rnacentral:lncRNA from 1 species